UCCCUGCACGGUUACCAGAGUAUUGAUAACGUUCAAUCGGAUCCUUUCUCGGACCGGCAAACACUACGAUAAUUCGCCAGCCAGAUCCAACAAACGCUGCAUUUCCGUGGAUAUUCAGGCGGACGACGUCAACGAUCGCGAAAACGUUACCAUCAGCUGAUGACUAGCAACAUGCUAACUGGAACUAGCACGCAUAAGUCACUAGCUAACCUCAGCGAGUCGGCUAGCUAGUUGACAAAAUGAAGGCAGCUAACGCUAGCUAGCUGCCCGGGCUAGCGCUAGCUUCUCCGGCUAGCCUCAAGCUAACGAUCGCCAAAAAAAAAAAAAAAAAGGUACGUCGAACGGAUUUUACGCAGUCUUUGUCAAAAUUGCCGUCGACCUCCACGACCCGCUGCGUGGCGCGGGUGUCGUCCGUGUAUUUUUAACCCGAAAUACGACCCGCGUCCUCUGGUAAAUUUGCUUCGGAAUUUUGUGUCAAUUUUCACAAAAUGGCGCGCGGUCCAAACCUGCGCAGUGAACCGGCCCGGUGGACCAGAGACGCGGACAACCGCCUUAGUGCGGCGCCGCCUAAUUGUUUCUGCGGCGUUAAAACGUCGGCCUCUUGAUCUUCUUCGCCCGGUCCAUUAGACGCGUCUCGUUAUCCGAAAACGUCAAAGGUAUAUCCACUGACAGCAUUAUUCCGGCGGGAAGGGGGAACAUUUGAAACGACUGAGCUUGGGGGGAAAAACCCUCCUGACAAAAUGGCGAUGCUCUCGCUUGUUGCCAUGGCAACUGUCAAUCAAGACACCCAAAGACCCCGGAUGUACCGAUGACGAAUAAAAUCAUCGCGCGGAAAAUUGGGGGCGGUGCCUCUGGAUCGGCAGACCGGGGUGGUGGCUCCUCUCUUUAAGAAGUGGAACCGAAGGAUGUGUUCCAACUAUCGUGGGAUCACACACCUCAGCCCUACCGGUAAGGUCUCUUCAUGUGUACUGGAGAGGAGGCUACGCCGGAUAGUCGAACCUUGGAUUCAGGAGGAACAGUGUGGUUUUCGUCCCGGUCGUGGAACUGUGGACCAGCUCUAACCUCUCGGCAGGGUUCCUGAGGGUGCAUGGGAGUUUGCCCAACCAGUCUACAUGUGCUUUGUGGACUUGGAGAAGGCAUUCGACCGUGUCCCUCCGGAAGUCCUGUGGGGAGUGCUCAGAGAGUAUGGGGUAUCGGACUGUCUUAUUGUGGCGGUCCGCUACCUGUAUGAUCAGUGUCAGAGCUUGGUCCGCAUUGCCGGCAGUAAGUCGGAUACGUUUCCAGUGAGGGUUGGACUCCGCCAGGGCUGCCCUUCGUCACCGAUUCUGUUCAUAACUUUAAUGGACAGAAUUUCUAGGCGCAGUCAAGGCGUUGAGUCAAGGCGUUGGUGGCUGCAGGAUUAGGUCUUUGCUUUUUGCAGAUGAUGUGGUUCUGAUGGCUUCGUCUGGCCAGGAUCUUCAGCUCUCACUGAGUCGGUUCGCAGCCGAGUGUGAAGCGACUGGGAUGAGAAUGAGCACCUCAAACUCCGAGUCCAUGGUUCUCGCCCGGAAAUGGGUGGAGUGCCAUCUCCGGUUUGGGGAGGAGACCCUGCCCCAAGUGGAGGAGUUCAAGUACCUCAGAGUCUUGUUCACGAGUCAGAAUAGAGUCGAUCGGUGCAGCGUCUUCAGUAAUGCAGACGCUGUAUCGAUCCAUUGUGGUGAAAAAGGAGCUGAGGUGGAAGGCAAAGCUCUUAAUUUACUAGUCGAUCUACGUUCCCAUCCUCACCUAUGGUCAUGAGCUUUGGGUUAUGACCGAAAGGACAAAAUCACGGGUACAAGCGGCCUAAGGGAGUGUCCUCCGCCGGGUGGCGGGGCUCUCCCUUAAAGAUAGGGUGAGAAGCUCUGCCAUCCGGGAGGAGCUCAAGGUAAAUCGACUGCUGCUCCACAUCAAGAGGAGCCAGAUGAGGUGGUUCGGGCAUCUGGUCAGGAUGCAGCCCAAACGCCUCCCUAGGGAGUUGUUUCGGGCAGGUCCGACCGGUAGGAGGCUACGGAAAGACCCAGGACACGUUGGGAAGACUAUGUCUCCCUACUGGUCUGGGAACACGUCGGGAUUUCCCGGGAAGAGCUGGACGAAGUGGCUGGGGAGAGGAGAGUCUGGGCUUCCCUUCUUAGGCUGCUGCCCCCACGACCCGACCUUGGAUAAGCGGAAGAAGAUGGAUGGAUUUGCUUAUUUUCUGUCUGAUAAGAUAAUUCUUCCCACCAAGCAGAUUUUAUGUUAGAGUCCUUACUUGUUUUAAGGGUUAUGGUGCCUAAUUGAUCUCAGUAAGAUAUUACAGCUUCUUGAUGAGAUGUUAUGACCUAUAUUGAGUAAAACAUGCUUGAAACUAGAAUAUCAACUGUUCCAAGGCUGUGUCAUCAACACUAACAAGUACAAAACUACUUUUUUAAAGUUAUGAUUUAUUAUAUUUAAGCUGGAAAAAAAAAUGACUUUGACACAAUUGUGUCUCAUAUUAAAACUGAUGACAACCAAAUGGUUUUUGCCAUUUUAUUUUCAAUGAAACAAUAGAAAAUAUGUACGUACUGUAUAUAUUAGUACAGUUGUUAUUGGUGAUAAUAUACUUAUUUGAAGGUAUUUUUAAGUUCAUUGAGGUUAGCUAAUUUUACUUGCUAUGGAAAGUCUUGACAAGCCAAAUUUUCUUGUUCUAUCGGCAGAUAAUUUUGCUUAGUUCAAAUAAAAUACCCCUAAUUUUUGUAUUUUUUUUUUCUUGUUUUGGAAGACUGACUUUUUGCAGUGCAAUUAGUGAGUGAAGCGCACAUUUGUAGUUGUUUGCCCAUAUUCCUGCACAAUAACUCAGAUAUGGUAACACUAGUAAGUAGCAGAGAAAAACAAUGUUAGAAAAAGAAUAACCCUCAAUAAUAUUCAGCACUUUUAAAAGUCCCAUCAUAUCAAUGAACCAUCAUUUUUUGCAGUCUGCGUAUGAAUGUAGACAAGAAUGAAAUGCACUAAUUUUAAAGAGUAAACAUCAAUGAUACAACACAUUAAGGGUAUUUAAAUAACAGCAUGUUGUGCAAAAAGUAGUGAAAUAUUUAACAGUUGGACAUGUGCAUUCAAAAUGUAAAUAAAGCCCGACUGUAAAGGUUAUUUUAGGUUCAUCCAGAAAUUUUAGCUGAUAGUCGAAAAUCUUUUUAGGAGUUGUGGGUGUGUGAACAAUUAUUUACUGCAAUGUGUUCAUUUUCAAGCUGUAAUAAAAAAGUACUUUUUAAUGAAAGU